CUGCGGAGGAUCAUUAUUGAAUAAAAACUUGAACAGGUUGUUGCUGAUCCUUAUAGGAUAUGUGCACACUUGUCAAUUUUAUUUCUCCAACUGUGCACAUACUGUAGACUUGAAAUGUUUUAGAUUGCAUCAAUCUUGCAAUCUUUUUCAGGUCUAUGUCACUUUUAUAAUCUCUUAAUUUGUUUGGGAAUGUUGAAUUAGGUCUUUUGUACCUAUAAAGUUGAAUAUACAACUUUCAGCAACGGAUCUCUUGGCUCUCGCAUCGAUGAAGAACGCAGCGAAAUGCGAUAAGUAAUGUGAAUUGCAGAAUUCAGUGAAUCAUCGAAUCUUUGAACGCAUCUUGUGCUCCUUGGUAUUCCAAGGAGCAUGCCUGUUUGAGUGUCAUUAAAUUCCUCAAGCUUCAUUAUUCUUGAUGUGGCUUGGAUUUAUGGGGGGUUCAAUUUUGCAGGCCUUCAAAAAUGGUCUGCUCCCCUAAAAUGAAUUAGUAGUGUCUGAGCAGGAAAAACUACAGGUGUUGAUAAAUUUAUGUAUAUGCCCUAUAGUACACUGUGAAAACAGAUAAUGCUGCUUCUAAUUAUGUGGAAUUCCACAAACUUGAUCAAUUUGGCCUCAAAUCAGGUAGGACUACCUGCUGAACUUAAGCAUAUCAAUAAGCAGAGGAAAAGAAACUAACAAGGAUUCCCCUAGUAACUGCGAGUGAAGCGGGAAGAGCUCAAAUUUGAAAUCUGGCAGCCUUUGACUGUCCGAGUUGUAAUCUAGAGAAGUGUUACCUGUGCUGGACCAUGUACAAGUCUUCUGGAAUGGAGCGUCAUAGAGGGNGAGAAUCCA
rnacentral:rRNA from 1 species